rnacentral:rRNA from 1 species
AGUCGAACGGAGCACCCUUGAUUGAGGUUUCGGCCAAAUGAUAGGAAUGCUUAGUGGCGGACUGGUGAGUAACGCGUGAGGAACCUGCCUUUCAGAGGGGGACAACAGUUGGAAACGACUGCUAAUACCGCAUGACGCAUUUUGAUCGCAUGGUCGGAAUGCCAAAGAUUUAUCGCUGAAAGAUGGCCUCGCGUCUGAUUAGCUAGUUGGUGAGGUAACGGCCCACCAAGGCGACGAUCAGUAGCCGGACUGAGAGGUUGACCGGCCACAUUGGGACUGAGAUACGGCCCAGACUCCUACGGGAGGCAGCAGUGGGGAAUAUUGGGCAAUGGGCGCAAGCCUGACCCAGCAACGCCGCGUGAAGGAAGAAGGCUUUCGGGUUGUAAACUUCUUUUAAGUGGGAAGAGUAGAAGACGGUACCACUUGAAUAAGCCACGGCUAACUACGUGCCAGCAGCCGCGGUAAUACGUAGGUGGCAAGCGUUGUCCGGAUUUACUGGGUGUAAAGGGCGUGCAGCCGGGCAUGCAAGUCAGAUGUGAAAUCUCAGGGCUUAACCCUGAAACUGCAUUUGAAACUGUAUGUCUUGAGUGCCGGAGAGGUAAUCGGAAUUCCUUGUGUAGCGGUGAAAUGCGUAGAUAUAAGGAAGAACACCAGUGGCGAAGGCGGAUUACUGGACGGUAACUGACGGCGAGGCGCGAAAGCGUGGGGAGCGAACAGGAUUAGAUACCCUGGUAGUCCACGCUGUAAACGAUGGAUACUAGGUGUGCGGGGACUGACCCCC